rnacentral:rRNA from 1 species
AAUCUUCCGCAAUGGACGAAAGUCUGACGGAGCCACGCCGCGUGAGUGAUGAAGGUUUUCGGGUCGUAAAGCUCUGUUGUUAGGGAAGAACAGGUAUCGGCUUCACUGCGGGUACCUUGACGGUACCUGACGAGAAAGCCACGGCUAACUACGUGCCAGCAGCCGCGGUAAUACGUAGGUGGCAAGCGUUUAUCGGAAUUAUUGGGGGUAAAGCGCGCGCAGGCGGUCUGGAAAGAAUGAUGUGAAAUCCUAGGGCUUAACCGUAAGAGGUCAUUGGAAACUGGGGGACUAGAGUAUAGAAGAGGAGGGUGGAAUUCCAUGUGUAGCAGUGAAAUGCGUAGAGAUGUGGAGGAACACCAGUGGCGAAGGCAGCUCUCUGGUAUGUAACUGACGCUGAGGCGCGAAAGCGUGGGGAGCAAACA